rnacentral:rRNA from 1 species
UACGAAGGGGGCGAGCGUUGUUCGGAGUUACUGGGCGUAAAGGGCGCGUAGGCGGCGGACCAAGUUUAGGCGUGAAAGCCCCGGGCUCAACCCUGGGAAUAGCGCUUAAGACUGGUUUGCUUGAGUGCGGGAGAGGUGAGUGGAAUUCCCAGUGUAGAGGUGAAAUUCGUAGAUAUUGGGAAGAACACCAGUGGCGAAGGCGGCUCACUGGCCCGCAACUGACGCUGAGGCGCGAAAGCGU